GAUGAAGAACGUAGCGAAAUGCGAUAAGUAAUGUGAAUUGCAGAAUUCAGUGAAUCAUCGAAUCUUUGAACGCACAUUGCGCCCGCCAGUAUUCUGGCGGGCAUGCCUGUUCGAGCGUCAUUACAACCCUCAGGCCCCCGGGCCUGGCGUUGGGGAUCGGCGGAAGCCCCCUGUGGGCACACGCCGUCCCUCAAAUACAGUGGCGGUCCCGCCGCAGCUUCCAUUGCGUAGUAGCUAACACCUCGCAACUGGAGAGCGGCGCGGCCAUGCCGUAAAACACACAACUUCUGAAUGUUGACCUCGAAUCAGGUAGGAAUACCCGCUGAACUUAAGCAUAUCAAUAAGCGGAGGA
rnacentral:misc_RNA from 1 species